UACGUAGGUGACAAGCGUUGUCCGGAUUUACUGGGCGUAAAGAGCGCGCAGGCGGUCGAUCAAGUCGAGUGUGAAAGCCCCCGGCUCAACUGGGGAGGGUCACGCGAUACUGAUCGACUGGAAGGCAGGAGAGGGUAGUGGAAUUCCCGGUGUAGUGGUGAAAUGCGUAGAUAUCGGGAGGAACACCAGUGGCGAAGGCGACUACCUGGCCUGUUCUUGACGCUGAGGCGCGAAAGCUAGGGGAGCAAACGGG
rnacentral:rRNA from 1 species